rnacentral:rRNA from 1 species
AGUGAACGCUGGCGGUAGGCCUAACACAUGCAAGUCGAACGGCAGCACAGUAAGAGCUUGCUCUUACGGGUUGCGAGUGGCGGACGGGUGAGGAACACAUCGGAAUCUACUUUUUCGUGGGGGAUAACGUAGGUAAACUUACGCUAAUACCGCAUACGACCUACGGGUGAAAGCAGUGGAUCUUCGGACCUUGCGCGAUUGAAUGAGCCGAUGUCGGAUUAGCUAGUUGGCGGGGUAAAGGCCCACCAAGGCGACGAUCCGUAGCUGGUCUGAGAGGAUGAUAAGCCACACUGGAACUGAGACACGGUCCAGACUCCUACGGGAGGCAGCAGUGGGGAAUAUUGGACAAUGGGCGCAAGCCUGAUCCAGCCAUACCGCGUGGGUGAAGAAGGCCUUCGGGUUGUAAAGCCCUUUUGUUGGGAAAGAAAAGCAGCAGGUUAAGACCCCGCUGUUCUGACGGUACCCAAAGAAUAAGCACCGGCUAACUUCGUG